CAACUUAAAACCAAUAUAUUGUGAAAAUAAUCUAGUCUGUUAAAACAAAUUACUAUCGAACAUGUUAGUUCAUUUCCAUCCCUUCAUUUUACGGAGUUUGUAAACUAUGGCCUCUGUGUUAAAUUUGAACUUUAACAAAGCAAAUAAAACCCAAAAAGUAGAAACACUUCCUUAAACACCUCAUUUAAUGCUGAACUCCCCUUCACACUCUGUAGUGAUCACUGCUCUCUCCAUUUUCUCUCUAAAGCUACAAAAUUUAUAAACAUGGCAAAUCUUGCACAGGUAGCAGGAGUACACACAUCAGGCCUUGCAAACAUGAUCAUAUCAUCAGCAAGAAACGCCACCGCGCACAAGAAAAACUGCGAGCAACUAGCAGAGCACGUGAAGAUUAUAAGCAACCUGCUGGAGAAGAUAAAAUCAACGGACCUGGUGAACUUGCCUGCUACAAAAGAGCCAUUGGAUUGUCUAGAGGAAGCUUUGAGAAAGGCACUUGAUUUGGUGGAGAGCUGCAAGGAAAAGAGCUAUCUAUACAUGCUUGCUAUGGGAUGGAGUGUCGUUUAUCAGUUUAGACAAGUUCAUGAUGAAAUUGAUAGGUAUCUUAGGCUUGUACCCUUGAUUUCUCUGGUCCAUGAGUUCAGGAUGCAGGAUAUAAAGGAAGGCUGGCAGGCAAUUGAAGAGGAUCAAAGAGACUAUACCCUCGAUGAAGACGAUGUAGAGGCUCAAAGUGUGAUUUUAAAACCUGACCGUUCAAAGAAAGAUGCGAACAUGUUGGAGAAGUCUCUAUCUCGCAGAUAUCCUGACUUGGGAUUCCAGGAGGCUCUCCAAGAAGAAAAAGAGAAAUUACAGAUUGAGCUGCAGAGAUCAAGAACAAGCAAGGAGCCAAAUCAAUGCCGAGUAAUUGAACAUCUAAUUGAGGUAACAGAAAAUGUCGUCAAUGAUGUUCCUGCAAAGAAGGUUACGAAACUUCUUGUUAAUGAGCCAACUUAUGUUGUCUCAGGGUACAUAACCAAUGCAAGAUCCAGCAAUGGGGUCCUAAAGCCUGGAGAUAAGUGCCAGUCUGAAUGGCAGGUUGAUCUUUUUGAUUGUUGCAAGGAGCCAUGUUUGAGCUUGAAGACCUGCAUUUAUCCCUGUGGUGUAUUUUCAAGGAUAGCCAAUGUGGUGUCGAAAGGAAAGACAUGUAAGCUUAGCUUAAAAAAAAACCCUUUAGAGCCGUGAUAUAGGCGAGCUAGUUUAGUACUUAAUAACAGGAAAAAAAUUCGGCAUCUUUUCGACAUUGAGGUUGGUUUUCUUCUUUAUGGAGGAGGGCUUCGAAGCUCUUCCUUGUGAAAGUUGUACAUCCUUUUGGCUUGAGCUACGAAGGUAGAAGCAGCUGACAAAUAUACUACUUGCAGGGAGGGUCAUGUGAUGACUUCUUAACUCAUUUCAUGUGUUGCUGUUGUGCAAUGGUUCAAGAAUGGCGAGAGCUUGAAGUCAGAGGCUUUGAAGGUUGCCCGGAGAGAAAGAUGAUUCCUCCGCCUUACCAGUAUAUGAUGCCUUAAUUCCUGAACAAUAUGCUGCUCUCUACAAGUUCUAUUUACUAGAUACAUGUAAAUAAACACUUUAACAAAGGCAUGGCACUGGAACAUUCUGCAGAGACAA